AUCCAGCUGACGAGUCCCAAAUAGGACGUAAUGCGCGUUCUGUAU
rnacentral:hammerhead_ribozyme from 1 species